rnacentral:rRNA from 1 species
GAUGAACGCUGGCGGCGUGCCUAAUACAUGCAAGUCGAGCGAACAGACGAGGAGCUUGCUCCUCUGACGUUAGCGGCGGACGGGUGAGUAACACGUGGAUAACCUACCUAUAAGACUGGGAUAACUUCGGGAAACCGGAGCUAAUACCGGAUAAUAUAUUGAACCGCAUGGUUCAAUAGUGAAAGACGGUUUUGCUGUCACUUAUAGAUGGAUCCGCGCCGCAUUAGCUAGUUGGUAAGGUAACGGCUUACCAAGGCAACGAUGCGUAGCCGACCUGAGAGGGUGAUCGGCCACACUGGAACUGAGACACGGUCCAGACUCCUACGGGAGGCAGCAGUAUGGAAUCUGCCGCAAUGGGCGGAAGCCUGACGGAGCAACGCCGCGUGAGUGAUGAAGGUCUUCGGAUCGUAAAACUCUGUUAUUAGGGAAGAACAAAUGUGUAAGUAACUAUGCACGUCUUGACGGUACCUAAUCAGAAAGCCACGGCUAACUACGUG